rnacentral:rRNA from 1 species
GUGAGGAAUAUUGGUCAAUGGGCGGGAGCCUGAACCAGCCAAGUCGCGUGAAGGAAGAAGGAUCUAUGGUUCGUAAACUUCUUUUGCAGGGGAAUAAAGUGCAGGACGUGUCCUGUUUUGUAUGUACCCUGAGAAUAAGGAUCGGCUACCUCCGUGCCAGCAGCCGCGGUAAUACGGAGGAUCCGAGCGUUAUCCGGAUUUAUUGGGUUUAAAGGGUGCGUAGGUGGUUUGAUCAGUCAGCGGUGAAAGUUUGCAGCUUAACUGUAAAAACGCCGUUGAAACUGUCGGACUUGAGUGUAAAUGAGGUAGGCGGAAUGCGUGGUGUAGCGGUGAAAUGCAUAGAUAUCACGCAGAACUCCGAUUGCGAAGGCAGCUUACUAAGCUACAACUGACACUGAAGCACGAAAGCGUGGGGAUCAAACAGGAUUAGAAACCCUUGUAGUCC